GUGGGGAAUAUUGGACAAUGGGCGCAAGCCUGAUCCAGCCAUGCCGCGUGAGUGAUGAAGGCCUUAGGGUUGUAAAGCUCUUUCACCGAUGAAGAUAAUGACGGUAGUCGGAGAAGAAGCCCCGGCUAACUUCGUGCCAGCAGCCGCGGUAAUACGAAGGGGGCUAGCGUUGUUCGGAAUUACUGGGCGUAAAGCGCAUGUAGGCGGACAUUUAAGUCAGGGGUGAAAUCCCGGGGCUCAACCUCGGAACUGCCUUUGAUACUGGGUGUCUAGAGUGUGGAAGAGGUAAGUGGAAUUCCGAGUGUAGAGGUGAAAUUCGUAGAUAUUCGGAGGAACACCAGUGGCGAAGGCGGCUUACUGGUCCAUUACUGACGCUGAGGUGCGAAAGCGUGGGGAGCAAACAGG
rnacentral:rRNA from 1 species